UACGUAGGGUGCAGGCGUUAAUCGGAAUUACUGGGCGUAAAGCGCGCGCAGGCGGCUUGGCGCGCCCGACGUGAAAGCCCCCGGCUUAACCGGGGAGGGUCGUCGGGUACGGCCAGGCUUGAGGGCGGGAGAGGGUAGUGGAAUUCCCGGUGUAGUGGUGAAAUGCGUAGAUAUCGGGAGGAACACCAGUGGCGAAGGCGACUACCUGGCCUGUUCUUGACGCUGAGGCGCGAAAGCUAGGGGAGCAAACGGG
rnacentral:rRNA from 1 species